UUGUCGCUGGCUUGAGGCUCCGGUCUCUGGGUCAGAGGAAAGUCCGGGCAACACAGGGUAACCCGCUUCCUAACGGGAAGUGAUCCGUGAGGGUCAGAUCGUGCAGAAGAAAACAACCGCCGUUCUUUCGGGGGCGGUAAGGGUGAGAAGGCGGGGUAAGAGCCCACCAGGUUUGCGGUGACGCAAAUGCUGUGCACUCCGGGUGUUGAAAGUUCGCGUAUACCGGCGUCUGAGGGCGACCCGUCCGAGCCGGAGGGUAGAACGAUUGAGGUGUAGGGUGACCUGCAUCCUGGAUAAAUGACAGGCACUGCUUUCGGGCAGCACAGAACCCGGCUUACAGAUUCACUG
rnacentral:RNase_P_RNA from 1 species